rnacentral:hammerhead_ribozyme from 1 species
AUCCAGCUGACGAAUCCAAACUAGGACGAAACGCACGCUCUGCAU